rnacentral:rRNA from 1 species
UACGUAGGGGGCAAGCGUUGUCCGGAAUCAUUGGGCGUAAAGAGCGUGUAGGCGGCCCGAUAAGUCCGCUGUGAAAGUCCAGGGCUCAACCCUGGAAUGCCGGUGGAUACUGUCGGGCUCGAAUCCGGAAGAGGUGAGUGGAAUUCCUGGUGUAGCGGUGAAAUGCGCAGAUAUCAGGAGGAACACCGGUGGCGAAGGCGGAUCUCUGGGCCGUAACUGACGCUGAGGAGCGAAAGCAUGGGGAGCGAACAGG